rnacentral:lncRNA from 1 species
AGAAGAAUCCGAGAGGACUAAGCCAUCGGUGGCUUCAACCUAAAGGCUGGGAAGAGAAGACUCCACACAAAGGAAAUAGAGUCAGGAAGAGUUUGUGAGGACUGAUUCAUUAGAGAGGGAGAACCUGAUGCUGUAUGGAGUGGAGACAGAUGUGAGAUCAAAGUUCUUCAGGAAACAGUGGAAUCUGAGGCCUAGGAGGAAAAUGUGCUUCAUAAAAAACAAGCACAAGUCUCCCCUGAAAGAUGAGAAAAGACACUCUGAGCACUUGUGUCCGGGGGCCAAUAAACUGCGGGUAAGCAAGUAAUCGUUUGUGAUCAGCUGAAUCUACCACAAAGAUCAGCAGCCACCCCUUGGGGAGGUACAUCUCCCAGUAGGAACGGAAUGGCUCACUGCCACCAACUGCAGAGAGGAAGAAGCCAUCACAUAAACUCACAGCACUACAAAGGGAGAAAAUGGAGACAGCAGAAAACUACCCCACCCCACCCCACUGGCACCGGAGUAUUCAACUACACAUCAUCCCUAAGUGCAGGAGAAUCCCGCCCAGUGUCACAUCCUGCAAGAUCACCCCCUCAGCAGGGACCGAGGCUUCCAGCUGAAGAUGCAUGCUGAUGAGAAGCAGAACUUACUCUCCAGGAACUCCAUUUGCCUAUCUUCAGAGUUGAUGUGAACUGCAUUUAAACCUUGGGUAGGAGCUGUGCUGUGCUGGACUCUGUUGGAAGCCAGCAAGUGGAGGACACUGGUCUUUCCUGCUCCAUCCAGACCUAGUACUAGGAUCUGCUUAUUUUCUACCUGUGAAAUAAAAGGUACACCAG